UUUUUUUUAUUGGUGCAUCCUUCCAAACAUAUUUCAUCGCACCAUGUGCACGGGAGUUCUUUAGGCGGGUAUGUCGGAACUGGGUGUCGCCUGGCUGGCCCCUCUCCCCUUUGCUCGCUCCCUUUCUCGCCCUCGCGCUCUCGCCUCCCUCUGCCUCCAGCCCCCUCUGCUCCUUUGGGCUCACGCCCCCCUCCUCCCCUUCCAGCUGGCGGGGGCUGCGCUGCCUCCCAGACCUAGCAGACCUGCUCAGUCAGCUGGGGCCCCCUGAGGACAGUUGCCUCCGGAGCCGCCAGGACCUGCCAUUCUGCGCGGAAUGGCAGCGGCAGCAGCAUCCCCGCCAGAGGCGGUGGCGGCGGCGGCGGCCACGGCCACCACCGCGGACGCUAUUGUUCCCUGGUGUUAGACGCACUCUCCCUCCUUCUCAUCUGAAGCGAACAAUAGCAGGAAAGAGCUUUGCUUUCUGUACUCUUUGGGAAGACGUUCCAAGAGCGGAGAAAAAUUCCCUGCCGAGCGUGCUACGGCUCUGGACCCUGGAGUGGCUGCGGGCGGCAUGGGGCUGCAAGCCAGGCGCUGGGCGUCCGGGAGCCGGGGCGCUGCGGGGCCGCGCCGGGGCGUCCUGCAGCUGCUGCCGCUGCUGCUGCUCCUGCUGCUGCUGCUCCCGGUUGCCGCCGGCAGGGCUGCGGCACAGGGCGAGGCGGAGGUGCCCACCCUCUAUCUGUGGAAGACUGGUCCAUGGGGCCGAUGCAUGGGAGAUGAAUGUGGUCCAGGAGGCAUCCAAACGAGGGCUGUGUGGUGUGCUCAUGUGGAGGGAUGGACUACACUGCAUACUAACUGUAAGCAGGCCGAGAGACCCAAUAACCAGCAGAAUUGUUUCAAAGUUUGCGACUGGCACAAAGAGUUGUACGACUGGAGACUGGGACCUUGGAAUCAGUGUCAGCCUGUGAUUUCAAAAAGCCUAGAGAAACCUCUUGAAUGCAUUAAGGGGGAAGAAGGUAUUCAGGUGAGGGAGAUAGUGUGCAUCCAGAAAGACAAAGAUAUUCCUGCGGAGGAUAUCAUCUGUGAGUACUUUGAGCCCAAGCCUCUCCUGGAGCAGGCUUGCCUCAUUCCUUGCCAGCAAGAUUGCAUUGUGUCUGAGUUUUCUGCCUGGUCCGAAUGCUCCAAGACCUGCGGCAGCGGGCUUCAGCACCGGACGCGUCAUGUGGUGGCGCCCCCGCAGUUCGGAGGCUCUGGCUGUCCAAACCUGACGGAGUUCCAGGUGUGCCAAUCCAGCCCAUGCGAGGCCGAGGAGCUCAUGUACAGCCUGCAUGUGGGGCCCUGGAGCACCUGCUCAAUGCCCCACUCCCGACAAGUAAGACAAGCAAGGAGACGCGGGAAGAAUAAAGAACGGGAAAAGGACCGCAGCAAAGGAGUAAAGGAUCCAGAAGCCCGCGAACUUAUUAAGAAAAAGAGAAACAGAAACAGACAGAACAGACAGGAGAACAAAUAUUGGGACAUCCAGAUUGGAUAUCAGACCAGAGAGGUUAUGUGUAUUAACAAGACAGGAAAAGCUGCUGAUUUAAGCUUUUGCCAGCAAGAGAAGCUUCCAAUGACCUUCCAGUCCUGUGUGAUCACCAAAGAGUGCCAGGUUUCUGAGUGGUCAGAGUGGAGCCCCUGCUCAAAAACAUGCCACGACAUGGUGUCCCCUGCAGGCACUCGUGUAAGAACACGAACCAUCAGGCAGUUUCCCAUUAGCAGUGAAAAGGAGUGUCCAGAACUAGAGGAAAAAGAACCCUGUUUGUCUCAAGGAGAUGGAGUUGCCCCCUGUGCCACGUAUGGCUGGAGAACUACGGAGUGGACUGAGUGCCGUGUGGACCCUUUGCUCAGUCAACAGGACAAGAGACGCGGCAACCAGACGGCCCUCUGUGGCGGGGGCAUCCAGACCCGAGAGGUGUACUGUGUGCAGGCUAAUGAAAACCUCCUCUCACAGUUAAAUACCCACAGGAACAAAGAAGCCUCAAAGCCAGUGGACUUGAAAUUAUGCACUGGCCCUAUCCCUAAUACUACACAACUGUGCCACAUUCCUUGUCCAACUGAAUGUGAAGUUUCACCAUGGUCAGCUUGGGGACCUUGUACUUAUGAAAACUGUAAUGAUCAGCAAGGAAAAAAAGGCUUCAAACUGAGGAAGCGGCGCAUUACCAAUGAGCCCACUGGAGGCUCUGGGGGAACUGGAAACUGCCCUCACUUACUGGAAGCCAUUCCCUGUGAAGAGCCUGCCUGUUAUGACUGGAAAGCAGUGAGACUCGGAGACUGCGAGCCAGAUAAUGGAAAGGACUGUGGUCCAGGCACGCAAGUUCAAGAGGUUGUGUGCAUCAACAGUGAUGGUAAGACAGAUGUGUCUAUUAUGUUUUUAUGGACGUCCAACCCUGCAUAUAUGUUUUUACUUUCUAUUAAAAUCCUGUGUCUUCUUGCAUUAUAGCUGGUUCCAUUUACAAACGUAGAAAUAGCUGC
ensembl:lincRNA